GAUGAACGCUGGCGGCGUGCCUAAUACAUGCCAGUCGAGCGAACAGACGAGGAGCUUGCUCCUCUGACGUUAGCGGCGGACGGGUGAGUAACACGUGGAUAACCUACCUAUAAGACUGGGAUAACUUCGGGAAACCGGAGCUAAUACCGGAUAAUAUAUUGAACCGCAUGGUUCAAUAGUGAAAGACGGUUUUGCUGUCACUUAUAGAUGGAUCCGCGCCGCAUUAGCUAGUUGGUAAGGUAACGGCUUACCAAGGCGACGAUGCGUAGCCGACCUGAGAGGGUGAUCGGCCACACUGGAACUGAGACACGGUCCAGACUCCUACGGGAGGCAGCAGUAGGGAAUCUUCCGCAAUGGGCGAAAGCCUGACGGAGCAACGCCGCGUGAGUGAUGAAGGUCUUCGGAUCGUAAACUCUGUUAUUAGGGAAGAACAAAUGUGUAAGUAACUAUGCACGUCUUGACGGUACCUAAUCAGAAAGCCACGGCUAACUACGUG
rnacentral:rRNA from 1 species